AAUAUCGAUAAAGUUAUAGAAAUCGUUGAGUCCGACCGUCAUGUAAAUACUACCUCAAUUGUCCAGGAGCUAAUCCUUAUCCCUGAACUAAACAUUGAACAAAAACUUGUUAAAAACGUAAAAAGACAUUCGAGGUAUGGUUGCCACAUUAGUUAUCGCAAACAAUUCUCAAAGACCGAAUUCCUCUUGCAACAGAAUCGAUCCAUUUCUUAGGAGGAUGAUUAUUGGUAAAGUAAGGUGGAUUACUUGUGACAACUUCGAAUAAAAAUGGUCUAUUGUCGAAUUCUGGUGAACCUGCGCAACGAUGGCUAAGCCAGCAUUGAUGGUCAGUAAGAUUUUGCUACGGUUUUGUUGGAAUUAGUAGGGAAUCAUAUACUAUGAACUACUCCCUUACGGUAUUGUACUGUCACCAAUUUGACCGUCCAAAUGAAGUAAUCGCGUAGAGAUGGCCAGUAUUGGAAAAUAGCGGGAGCUAUGGCCACAUCGAUAAUGACUCGCCAGAAGCAACGAAAGCUUUAUGGGAGAUACUAAUGAUAAAUAGGCGUUCCAUUAUAAUGACAUACGUGUAAUACGUGCUGUAUGCAUGAAUAUUAUGGAAAGAGAGAACUGUUUUGCCAACAUGGACUUUCAAUUUAAUACAUCUUGUGAUGGAGUCAUACAUAAACUCGUAGACUGUAUAUGGACAAU